CCGCCCCCCCCUCCCCCACUCCCCUAAUAAUAUGGAGGUGAGGCACAUCGAAGUGGCGUACCCUGAAGACGUGGUGGUGGUGGGGGGCCACUCCUGAGGACUCGUCUGGAGACGGCCUGCUCGAGGAGCGUUUCCUGAGGGACGACACCAUCGCCAACAAGGCGAGGCCGCACGGAACCGCCAGCAGAACGGCACGCUACCGGUGGGGGUAGUGUACCUCUCGCGCCGCAGUUUGGAGGGGGCUGUGAUCUACAUGCAGGCAAGACCUCCCACCUGGAAUUCGACACACUCUCUCGUCGCUGCCUCCCGCACCAUGCGACGCUUCGCUGCGAUGCAGUACGCCGUGCUCGGGGGCGCGAACGGGCUCGUGCUCUCCACCAGUAGGCCAGCAGGUCGUGGGUGCGCCGUACCUUCCACAAGCUCUGCGGUCGCAUCGGAUCGCGGGAAUCUUGGAGAAGGCGCCGGACAGCAUGCCCGCUGUCUUGACCGCGUGCGAUUGUGCGCCCUCAGCCAGCGUACCGUAGGCGCCACGUUGCAAGCUCCGCGCGGUGGGGCCGGGCUUAUCAGUCUCUCGCAGCGCAUGCGCGCGACAGCAGUAAUACAGCGAGGAUCGCGGCCUGCACAUGACUCUCCGCUGCUUCGCACAUCACCUGCCUGUACGGAUAGCGCAUAAACCGGCAGUGGCCGCUCGCCUCCAGCCUUGCCAACACGGAUCAUCAGCUUCACGAUAGAACACCCUCCCCCUCCCCCAGUUGGGGCAAAGGUCGCCUUGGUGACGGACCAUCACCACCCCUCCGCAUCCUGCAUGCGCAGAAAGCAGCUGAAUGGGUUUGAGCGGCAGUGGGUGUGGGCCUGGCGCUGAACACGCUGGGCGCGUACACGCGCCGUUUGGUUUUACGAGCGGUGCAUCGACGUUGUGGUCCUCUACACCGCCCCGGCUCACUGAAUCCUGCUGACACGCAACUCGCGUAACUUUGAGGAGUGCAACUCCGCGCCGGGUUCGUCUCUCGCCCGCUCGCAUGUGAAGGACGUGGCGUUGCCACUUGCGAGCGGCACCCUUACCCCGCUGUGCGAGGGCCGGAGAAAGGCCACAAAACGGCUGUCGGAGGAGCGAAAUCCGUGAGAGGGCUACUGCAGGGCGAUCCGUGCUUUGCCACAGCGAAUCCUCUCACGAAAGGCGACUGCGGCCUCAGGGAGCACCGACGAAGCAUACACCAUGACCGCCGACGAAAAGCCCCGGGCGCGAGCCCCUCCCUUGCAUGCUGAGCCGUGCGGGUGACCGAGUCCUCUCUUCAUUCCCGUGCUCUCUUUGUCUUGUUCAAGGUUCGCUAAGCGAAGAUCGAUGGCCGACGCUCGCGUAAGCGGGCCAUCACACCACCAAUUUGUUGGCCUACACUCAUGCUGUUGUUUGUCACAUCCGUUAUGCACUUAAAUCACAAAAACUCAUCAGCCUUUUCCUCAGCGUCUGCGAGGGCAGAGAGCACCACAAAAGUUCUUUUAGCAAAGGACUGAGGAGGAGGAAGGGGAUAGGCGUGCGAUUUGCGUCCCCACAGGAACUCUAAGCGAAGCGUAGACACGCAACGACGACGCACAAUCUCGCCCCUAUCCCGUGCGCAGCUCUUCACCGCUAUUCAUCUUCCCUGCAGCGCUUAAGGUCUUCGCUGUGGUCGCCAUCCUCCGCGUUUGCCGUGAACUUCCACUGAAUCGGUUCUGUGUCUUAUCGCAUUUAUCCGUACCUUUUUUUCUUGUGUGUGUGCGUGUGAUCGCGUGACGAGUAACACCUCUGCGCCGCCCCUCCCCAUGCGCACGUACCUCACGCCGUCUUCGGAAAG
rnacentral:misc_RNA from 1 species